UGGGCUUAAUUUGACUCAACGCGGGAAAUCUUACCGGGUCCGGACACACUGAGGAUUGACAGGUGUUAUCGUAUUAUGCUUCGGCAUGAUACGUGUUAAAUAUGCUAGUCCUUUCAUGAUUAUGUGAUAGGUGGUGCAUGGCCGUUCUUAGUUCGUGGAGUGAUCUGUCUGCUUAAUUGCGUUUCACUACGAAUCCGCGCAUUAAACGUACGCUCGUGAGAUGGUUUGACCCCUGACCUCGGUCAGUCGCGUGUCUCGCCAUCAUACUCACAGCGUGCUAAGUGGAUUCCAGAAAGCAACGAACGUGACCGCAACCUCUUGUUGCCUGUAACCACCAGAAAGUUCUCUUUCUGACAAACAGGCCAUUUAUAAUAAACUAGAGGGACCGCUGUCAACUCCUUAAACCAGAGGAAGGUUGCGGCAAUAACAGGUCUGUGAUGCCCUUAGAUGUUCCGGGCUGCACACGUGCUACAAUGAUUAUUGCAGUGAGCAUCUCAUACUAUACAUCGCAGCGUAAGUGCUUUAAACUUCGGUUUAUUGCUACUUUUUGCGCGAUAAAGCCUGCUUCGAAAGUAAGUGGGUAAUCAAUUAGAAGUAAUGAUUUCCCUUUUUAUGCACAAAAAUGUUCGGCACUGCUUCCCUGUUUGUCUUAUUGACAUCUGUGUGUUUGUAGUGAGUCUUUUUUGACUUUUUACCGUUCGUGCAAUUGUCAAUUCAUGGUGGGGACAGACCAUUGUUAAUUGUUGGUCUCGGUCUUAACUAGGAAUGCCUUGUACGGGUCUUUGGUUCAACAAACCACCCGGAAUACGUCCCUGCCCUUUGUACACACCGCCCGUCGCUCUUACCGAUGGAUUUCUCUGUGAGUUUGAAGGACUGGCUCUUACGUGGCUAUGAAAUCAAA
rnacentral:rRNA from 1 species